UUUCUUUGCUGGCGACCGGCGCACGGGUGAGUAACGCGUAUCCAACCUGCCCUUUACUCGGGGAUAGCCUUUCGAAAGAAAGAUUAAUACCCGAUAGCAUAAUGAUUCCGCAUGGUUUCAUUAUUAAAGGAUUCCGGUAAAGGAUGGGGAUGCGUUCCAUUAGGUUGUUGGUGAGGUAACGGCUCACCAAGCCUUCGAUGGAUAGGGGUUCUGAGAGGAAGGUCCCCCACAUUGGAACUGAGACACGGUCCAA
rnacentral:rRNA from 1 species